CGCGGGCCCGGGGGCGGGCUAGCAGCUGUGCGUGUGGGGUGGUCGUCACCUACGUCCCUUAGGGAGUGGGCUUUCGAGCCCAAAGUUCCCCAGAUCAAACUGUUAUGUAUUCGCGCUUGGAGUUCUUGCUGUGGUGUGCAGCCGAAAUGGAGCGGCGGUGUUGUGCCCGCUUUCUUAAGCAAUUACUUUGUCGGUAGGGUUGGAAGGGUGCGCUGGAGAUAGAAUUAGAGAAUCAUAGAAUCAUCGGUGUUCGAAGAGACCCUUACGAGCAUCAAGUCCAACCAUUACCCAGCACUGCCACUGUAACCCCUAAACCGCAUGAUUAAGCGCUGGAUCCAGACACCUCUUAAACACUUCGGGGAUGGUGGCUCCACCGCUUCCCUGGGCAGCCUAUUCCAAUGUCUGACCACUGUAACGGUGAAAAGGAUUUUUCUAAUAAUCCAGUUUGAAUCUCCCCUUUGACAAUCUCCAGGUCGACUUGUCCAAGCCCUCACUAAGGCAGAGUCACCGGGAGCCUUUGACACAGGAAAGUGUCCAGGCUAAUUGUGAUAAUGAUGAUGAUGACGUGUAUUCCUUCUGCUGAGAAAAGUUUGGUUGAUAAGGCAUUUCUCAUCCCAGCCUGUAAAGAAUCUGUGAAGCAGGGCCAUUGGACAUCUUAACAAGUGCCAUGGAGGCCCAUCACAUCCUCUGCGGUGUCUGAAGUUUGCAGACUUGUUCCCUCCGCAGCAAACAGGCAGAAAUCAAGCACCACAAAUGUCGGGGGAAGCAGAAGUCUUUUCCAGUGACACUGAAGGGUCUCUGACAUGCAGUAAAGUACUGCUGCGGAAAGCCAAAAGUGUCACUGCUUGGAAACCUAAAAAGGGACAAAAGUUUUGGUAUUCUGUGCAUUUUAUUAAUAACUGUAGGAGACAAACCUUGUCCCAGAAAGUUUACCAGAAAAUUUCUACGUCAUGAAAAAUAUGGCAAAAGACAGCAAGUGUCAUAGAGCCCCCAAAAAAUCGAGAAAAAUUUUGC